rnacentral:rRNA from 1 species
GAUGAACGCUGGCGGCGUGCCUAAUACAUGCAAGUCGAGCGAACAGAUGAGGAGCUUGCUCCUCUGACGUUAGCGGCGGACGGGUGAGUAACACGUGGAUGACCUACCUAUAAGACUGGGAUAACUUCGGGAAACCGGAGCUAAUACCGGAUAAUAUAUUGAACCACAUGGUUCAAUAGUGAAAGACGGUUUUGCUGUCACUUAUAGAUGGAUCCGCGCCGCAUUAGCUAGUUGGUAAGGUAACGGCUUACCAAGGCAACGAUGCGUAGCCGACCUGAGAGGGUGAUCGGCCACACUGGAACUGAGACACGGUCCAGACUCCUACGGGAGGCAGCAGUAGGGAAUCUUCCGCAAUGGGCGAAAGCCUGACGGAGCAACGCCGCGUGAGUGAUGAAGGUCUUCGGAUCGUAAAACUCUGUUAUUAGGGAAGAACAAAUGUGUAAGUAACUAUGCACGUCUUGACGGUACCUAAUCAGAAAGCCACGGCUAACUACGUG